AAACGAUUGAAGUCAGUCGUGUCCUUCAGAUUCAGCUGGUUCUGCCGGUGUAUUUCUGUUGGAUGGGGUCAACAUCAGUUUCGGAUGCCGGAUAAGGGCUGGAGGAAGGUAGUACCCCCGGGUAAACUUAUAGCCUCCUGUCGCAUACGGUGAUUGGGACUGAGGAACGCAGCUUGCCUUCAUGGCCGGGGUUCGCCCACGUACAAGCUUAGGAUGUUGACAUAAUGGCUUUAAACGA
rnacentral:rRNA from 1 species